GCGGUGUGCCUAAUACAUGCAAGUCGUACGCACUGGCCCAACUGAUCGAUGGUGCUUGCACCUGAUUGACGUUGGAUCACCAGUGAGUGGCGGACGGGUGAGUAACACGUAGGUAACCUGCCCCGGAGCGGGGGAUAACAUUUGGAAACAGAUGCUAAUACCGCAUAACAACAAAAGCCACAUGACUUUUGUUUGAAAGAUGGCUUUAGCUAUCACUCUGGGAUGGACCUGCGGUGCAUUAGCUAGUUGGUAAGGUAACGGCUUACCAAGGCGAUGAUGCAUAGCCGAGUUGAGAGACUGAUCGGCCACAAUGGAACUGAGACACGGUCCAUACUCCUACGGGAGGCAGCAGUAGGGAAUCUUCCACAAUGGGCGCAAGCCUGAUGGAGCAACACCGCGUGAGUGAAGAAGGGUUUCGGCUCGUAAAGCUCUGUUGUUGGAGAAGAACGUGCGUGAGAGUAACUGUUCACGCAGUGACGGUAUCCAACCAGAAAGUCACGGCUAACUACGUGCCAGCAGCCGCGGUAAUACGUAGGUGGCAAGCGUUAUCCGGAUUUAUUGGGCGUAAAGCGAGCGCAGGCGGUUGCUUAGGUCUGAUGUGAAAGCCUUCGGCUUAACCGAAGAAGUGCAUCGGAAACCGGGCGACUUGAGUGCAGAAGAGGACAGUGGAACUCCAUGUGUAGCGGUGGAAUGCGUAGAUAUAUGGAAGAACACCAGUGGCGAAGGCGGCUGUCUGGUCUGCAACUGACGCUGAGGCUCGAAAGCAUGGGUAGCGAACAGGAUUAGAUACCCUGGUAGUCCAUGCCGUAAACGAUGAGUGCUAGGUGUUGGAGGGUUUCCGCCCUUCAGUGCCGGAGCUAACGCAUUAAGCACUCCGCCUGGGGAGUACGACCGCAAGGUUGAAACUCAAAGGAAUUGACGGGGGCCCGCACAAGCGGUGGAGCAUGUGGUUUAAUUCGAAGCUACGCGAAGAACCUUACCAGGUCUUGACAUCUUGCGCUAACCUUAGAGAUAAGGCGUUCCCUUCGGGGACGCAAUGACAGGUGGUGCAUGGUCGUCGUCAGCUCGUGUCGUGAGAUGUUGGGUUAAGUCCCGCAACGAGCGCAACCCUUGUUACUAGUUGCCAGCAUUAAGUUGGGCACUCUAGUGAGACUGCCGGUGACAAACCGGAGGAAGGUGGGGACGACGUCAGAUCAUCAUGCCCCUUAUGACCUGGGCUACACACGUGCUACAAUGGACGGUACAACGAGUUGCAAACUCGCGAGAGCAAGCUAAUCUCUUAAAGCCGUUCUCAGUUCGGACUGUAGGCUGCAACUCGCCUACACGAAGUCGGAAUCGCUAGUAAUCGCGGAUCAGCAUGCCGCGGUGAAUACGUUCCCGG
rnacentral:rRNA from 1 species